CAAAGGGAGCAAUCCCGGCCACGGAUGGGCAUGCGGCGCAUUAGCUAGUCGGCGGGGUAACGGCCCACCGAGGCGACGAUGCGUAGGGGUUCUGAGAGGAAGGCCCCCCACACUGGUACUGAGACACGGACCAGACUCCUACGGGAGGCAGCAGUGAGGAAUAUUGGUCAAUGGGCGCGAGCCUGAACCAGCCAAGUCGCGUGAGGGAGGACGGCCCUACGGGUUGUAAACCUCUUUUGCCGGGGAGCAACGGGCGCCACGUGUGGCGCCACUGAGAGUACCCGGAGAAAAAGCAUCGGCUAACUCCGUGCCAGCAGCCGCGGUAAUACGGAGGAUGCGAGCGUUAUCCGGAUUUAUUGGGUUUAAAGGGUGCGUAGGCGGAUCGUUAAGUCAGUGGUCAAAUUGAGGGGCUCAACCCCUUCCCGCCAUUGAAACUGGCGCUCUUGAGUGGAAGAGAAGUAUGCGGAAUGCGUGGUGUAGCGGUGAAAUGCAUAGAUAUCACGCAGAACCCCGAUUGCGAAGGCAGCAUGCCGGCUUCCGACUGACGCUGAAGCACGAAAGCGUGGGGAUCGAACAGGAUUAGAUACCCUGGUAGUCCACGCGGUAAACGAUGAGCGCUAGGUGUCCGGGGGGAAUGGCCCCUGG
rnacentral:rRNA from 1 species